rnacentral:lncRNA from 1 species
GCAGUGUGUGGUUGCUCAAGUUUAGCUACAAGGCCAUAUAAGAGUCCUUCCAAGAGGAGGAUGGGGCGAACUUUCCAGCUAGAGUUUGACCUAAGGAAGGAUUUCAAAACUUACCCCUGCAAUGCUUUAACAGCAUUCAAGUCAAAUGGAGGCUUUUCAUACAGUGAAAUCCACAGUAGCUCUCUGUGGUAUGUAGGGCUACUAGCCAGAUAUACCUGAAAGCAAGCGCUUGCCUUGCUCUCCCUCUGCCACAGAACGAUGACACAGGGAUAACAAAGGGAAAUACCAGGGAAUGUCAAGUCAAACAAAUCGUAGAUCUUCUCUGGCGGCUUCUUUGACCUUGUUCUGAGUGAACACCGUGUACAUCAAGGAAGAUAAUUACAACUUUUUCAAGUCUUCUAAAAUCGACCUAACCUCUUAGGUUAUUUCCUGGCCUCCCUUCUGUGACCUUUGACCAAGGCCAACCUUUAGCUGGAGAAUGUGACAUUUUGUUCUCCUCUGGCUGACAUGUGAUGCUCUCAUUAUUCAAAGGAAAAGUGUUGUCAUUUGAACGUCAAGGGUUUCUCAGACCACCAGAAAAGAUUAUCUCCUUUUGAUAUCUCUGCUUAGAGGAAUACAGAAUGUGGCCACAUGUUACUCUUCUACCAAUGUCAGGAUAAAGCAUGCAUUAGGAUCCCUCAGUGGAGAACUAUGUCCAUUCCAUGCUCCUUCCAACUAGUUUGAGAAAUGGCUCCAAAUUUUCCUUAAUAUUAUUCUGAAUUGCUCUAUGAAGUAAAUGUCAGGCAUUUUAUUUCCAUUUCCCUAAAAUAGAGAAUGGGUUGCUAGGGAAAAUGCCUAAGCCAGCCAUAAAGCAUUUCCAAAGGGAGGACAUAGUGAAUAAAAAAUGUUAAUUCCUGUCUUGUUUAACAAGCUCUCAUGGCAGCUCCAAGGGGUAGUAAAAUUUAUACUCCUACCAGGACAGCUCUAGACUAUGGCAUCAGCAUGGGAUGGAAAGUAGCCCUGGGAAACAGAAUAGUGUGGUUGCCUGCUACCCUUUACUUAUCUGAAUAGUUUGUCUCUGCUGUGCCCAGGAGGUUUGCACCUCAUGGGGUGGGAGGUGGUGCAAUCAGGUAAGAAUGCUCUUUACUUACUCCUUUGUCGGAAAAAGGAUGACUGUAAUGUGUGGGCUGGAGUGGAGUGGAACUGAGUUUAAAAUCUGCAGUAACAUAAAAUUAAAGACUAGGUAUUAACAAUGGCUUUGCACUCUGAGUUGCC